rnacentral:rRNA from 1 species
AUUGUACGCUGGCGGCAUGCCUUACACAUGCAAGUCGAACGGCAGCACGGGUGCUUGCACCUGGUGGCGAGUGGCGAACGGGUGAGUAAUACAUCGGAACAUGUCCUGUAGUGGGGGAUAGCCCGGCGAAAGCCGGAUUAAUACCGCAUACGAUCUACGGAUGAAAGCGGGGGACCUUCGGGCCUCGCGCUUUAGGGUUGGCCGAUGGCUGAUUAGCUAGUUGGUGGGGUAAGGGCCUACCAAGGCGACGAUCAGUAGCUGGUCUGAGAGGACGACCAGCCACACUGGGACUGAGACACGGCCCAGACUCCUACGGGAGGCAGCAGUGGGGAAUUUUGGACAAUGGGCGAAAGCCUGAGCCAGCAAGGCGGCGUGUGUGAAGAAGGCCUUCGGGUUGUAAAGCACUUUUGUCCGGAAAGAAAUCCUUGGCCCUAAUACGGUCGGGGGAUGACGGUACCGGAAGAAUAAGCACCGGCUAACUACGU